UUAGCUUGAACUGUAUCUUCGGUGCUUGUUUAAAGAACUUAAGCCUUACUGCUGCUUUCUUUUCUCUCACCUAGACCAGUCAUUGUUUUUCAGAGCCACAAACCCUUGUCUCUAAGAACAGUCAUGGCAUCUCAGUUCGGUGGUAAAAUUCGAACGAUACAUCUAAAGCAAACAGUUUGCAAAGCAGAAAGACCAGUUUGUGGCCAACUGGUAUAUUUUAUACUGGAGGGAGUUAAAUAAUAAACGAGGUUAAAAAGAAGGUGACCACACUUCAACUGUUAACUUUCUGGUUCAGUGCUUAGUUGUGUUUGGCAACCAAUACUGCUAGAGAAAGAAGUCAGAGCGUACAAAGCUAGGAAUGAUGGAUACGGCAGCAAACUGGUCAGGGAUGGUCACAUCUGGUCCUCACCAAGCUCAUAGUCUGCUAAAGAAGUCAGACACGAAACAAGUGAUCACAAACACACGUAUGACACAACAGAAGAAAAGGAAGUUGCCAACAUGUUAAGACUGCGAAACAUACACUGACUGGAAAGAUUUUCAUCGAAUUUCUUGGGAAUAUUUGAUUUAUUGGUCUAUUAACCCAAACAGAAAAGAGAGUUUGCUCACAGACUUUUACUUGUUAAAGAAUCCACUCUAGGGCUUGGGUUGCUCAGUUGGUUAAGUGUCCAACUCUUGAUUUCAGCUCAGGUCAUGAUCCCACGGUUCGUGGGUUCAAGCCCUGCAUCAGGCUCUGUGCUGACAGUACGGAGC